rnacentral:tRNA from 1 species
UGAGGCUGUAGCUCAGUGGUAGAGUUCUUGCCUAGUGUGCAUGAAGCCCUCAGUUCAAUCCUCAGCACCACAA